rnacentral:misc_RNA from 1 species
CAGAGUUGCAAGACUCCCUAAACCAUUGUGAACCUACCUUCUACCGUUGCUUCGGCGGGCGGGCCCAGCGCCCCCCCCCGGCCCCCCGCGGGCGCCCGCCGGAGGAUACCCAAACUCUUGACAUUAGUGGCCUCCCUGAGUAUUCUUUACUGAAUAAGUCA